AUAAAGUUUAGACCUGAGCGCAAUGCAAAGGAAUGCAUUUCAUGGCCAACACAGAAUCCCCACAGCAACAUACUGUAUCGAGAGUAUGGAGAGUGGUGACCAGAAGCUACACUGUCACAUGCAGGCGGAAACAGACUUGACCAUCUCUUGCUGCCAUCAGUGGUUAACUCCUGUGAUGCACAGACUCACUGAGCUUCUGAAACACCUUUCUUGAAGUGGGCCUGAUCAAGCUGCUGGCCACAAACAGGCAGAGGCUCUCAGCUCCUGGUGGAGGCUUUUCAAAACACACAGUGCUUUGGCCCCUGUCCUGGCUGUGAUGGACUUCUGGAGGCCCUGGUUCAGAAGCUUGGGGCCUGAGUCCAUACUGAUUGGCUGGAUGGAUGGCUGAGUGCCUUCACAGUGUACGUCUAUCUGGAAUGGACAAGCCUGACAGAGUGGGAGGCAGAGGACUUUGGUUAGGAUUCAGGUUAGACAUUGAAAGUCUGGAUGUGUUUCUUUGUGUGUGUGUGUAUUACAACCAGUGCUUUUGCUAAUAUCACACAUUUGCACUUGGAGAUUUUGGUCAUGGAAAUCAUUGUGUCAUGUGAGUUUAGUAGCUAGCUUUUGUAGAAUGGCUUAUUGAUUGAAAUGUAUUUUCUCAUCAAGUUUCCAAUGUAAGCCCUUAAUUACAGCAUAUUAGGACAAUAUCAUUUCAUGUCAUAUAAGAACUGAUUGAACUCUGUGAUUGUUUUAAGUGAGAGCAGAUGUGUAAACUUACCUCUACGAGCUCCAGCAUUCGGUUGUAGCCCAUGGCUUCCAGGGUGACCCAAAGGUCAGCAGGGUCUCCUUCUUUCUCUGUGGCCUCCAUCAGGUUCAGCUCCAUGAAGCCCUGCCGUGUCAGCUGGUUCUUUCUCAUAUCAAAGUUUUCUGCACGCCCAACAAAGCAAAUGAACAAAUGAACAAAUGAACAAAUGAAAAGCCAUAAGGAAGCCACCCCUGUACAUUGUAUUCUUUACAUAAAUGUAACACUGGUCAUUGUGUGUAUCAGUGCCAUAAUGAGAGUGAUUACCCUUGCAGACAGCCCAGGCAUCCUUUUCGCAUUUCUCUCCACUGGUCCUCAGCUCAAAGAAAUUGUACUCCUCUAAACUGAGCAAACCAUUUCCAUCCAUGUCUAUCACCUCAAAUAUGUCAGACAGCACCUCCCUGUGGUACAAAAAGAGCAACACAGAGAAAUGUUAGUAUGUCAGUCCAUUACAGAGCUUAAACCGAGAUAGCCUUAACUCAUUAAUCUCUCCAAAUUUUCAACCAUGUAACCAUCCAUUCAAGUGCUGUGGUGACUACAGAGCUGGAUCCAAAAAACCCUAAUGACGUUAAUACACAAUCUCAAUGUUUGGUCAUUAGCCAAAGUCAAACUUUGCUAUGUUGUGUAUUUUUAUACUUCCAAUGGUGGAAUGAAGCAGACAAAUACACAUAUAACAUGCACACACUCACCUGAGCUCUCUAGUGAGGUCUAGUUCUCCAGUGUCAGUCCUGUAGACAAGCUCUACAGGUUGAUUAGAAAGGCUCUUUUUGCUCUUUUUCUUUAGUUUGCAACCACUAGUGAAGGGAAGCAGGUAGUAAGUUCCAGCAUUCAAUUCUCCUUUCCAAACAUACUUCUGUAGGAACAAAGCAUAGCAAAGAAAGUGAAAAACACUGAGCAUAUCCCAGAAUGUAGCACAAACACGUUUCAACUUCAUAGUAUCAGAAAUAGCAACUAGCUUUGGCCUGACAGAAUUCCAGUACACCGAGAAACAUUUUUGGGGUAAAUAUUUCACACAAAACUUAUUUUUGUAUCAACACACAAACUCUUAAAUUAAGUAUCAGUGGGAAUGAUUUUAAAACAAAUAGUACAUCCCUCUUCACACACAAACAUACUUCUUUGUCUUUUGACUCUGUGAAACACACUAAUUGUGAGUCCUCUUUGGUUUCACCAGCUGACAUGACAAAAAGGGCCGUGUCCACUGUCAUCCAUGAAGAAGGCUUGUCUGAAAAAUAACACAAGAUGGCAGACAUUUUAAUAGAUUAUUAUAUAUAAAAUGUUUGUGGACAAACUUCGACUUUUACUUUUAUCUUUACUAGAACACAUACAGCGGACUACAUCAACCACUAUCUGCUAUUGUGUGCUUCAAUUUUAUGAACUGAACUGCACCCACUUCAUAAAUUAUCGUGCACUGAGCUGGAACACAAUCUAGCACGAUUCCUACCACAUCUGACCUGCUGCCCCACAAAGAAUACAGUGCAGGGGCCAAUAAAGGGCUUCAGUGUGUUCUUUUUGUUUAUCAGUCAUUAUCUGAAAAUGACUGGGGCGAUACUUUAUUUAUGUUACAAUGUCACUGAAAACAUCUUUAAAAUUGUGCAACUGUAUGCCACUAAAAACCGUGGUGAAGCAAUGGGGCAGGAAGCAGUCCAGUCAGAAAUUGAAAUAUGGGACUUUGAAGUAAUGAAUCCUGAGGGGCUCAGGUCCAAAUCCAGAAUGCUUGAGAAAACUACUGUAUUCCUACCAGCUCCAGAGGUGCUGUCCUGUUCCUGACCCUAAUUUCUGACCUCCAUAAACAGGGGAGCAAGGAAAAAUAUAACAUCCCUAUGGGAAAUCGGGUUAAUUUAACCAUUUUUAUGAUUUUGAUUUAUGUGUAAUAUAAAAAAGAAAAAGUGCCAGUACCAGGUCUGUGGCUGAGGCUGAGUGGUUGGAUGGUUAGGUAGACGUUGGUUGUCUGGGGGAUGUGGAACUGGUACUGCAGAGAACUGACACUUCCAUCGUCCUCCAAGAAGAAACAGCCCUUCACAUAACUGUGAUGCCAAUCCUGGAACAAUGGAUAACAUUUCUGCUUAACGACAGUCCCAGCACAUUUACAGUACAUCAUGUUAUGUGUAUCCUAUUAUAUUUUGUUAUGUGUGGUCUCUGUUUAGAAUCUGACACAGUCUAAACAAACUGUUUUGCUGCUUGACAACAAAAUGCAUUUAUUCAUUCAACAGAAACCAAAACUAAUUUGCAGUUCCUAUUAAAAGGGGGAUUGAUCUUGUGACAGUAUAUUUUGCCAUGAAAAAGUGAAUUAAGCAGUCAAUCAUAACAGUGAGGUUGCUCGCUUGAUUAACAGAAACUGCCGUCGUGAUAAUUACCACUCCAACCUUCAGGGGGCACAUUCAUUAUUACACAGUUUAUGUGAGCUUAGCAGCAAACACUUGUUAUACUCGUACGGAUCCAGAGGAGGGCAGAAGUGUUACACUGUGUUUCUGCUGAAGUAAAUCUCCCUCUAGGACCUGAUAUGGCAAAUUGGAGUCCAUUUAACUUUGAUAAAUACAGCCUUUUCAAUCUUGGGCCAGCGGUCAUUCAAAACUAUCAAGAGGCUACUUUGGCAAUAUUUAUGAAUCCUAAUAUUUCUCUCAUUUUGAAAUCCUGUUGUUCCUUUGUCUGGCAGCACAACUGAAAUUAGGUAAUAAUUUGAAAUUGAACAGGAACAUCAAAACAAGGAAGUUUUCCUUCCACUCAUUGGAGACACAUUAAAUGAAAACACAGUUGGUGUGGACACACAGUAAGAGGACACUGAGGGCCGGGCAAGUCUGGAAUAGGCUAUAUAUCCUUUUAGUGGACAAAUAAAUCACCAAGUUAAACAAAGAAAGUACCAUAAAGACGGAGCAUGUCACUCCUUUAGAGAAAAGCCAUUUUCUCAAAGUAUUUAUCUUGGGCUGUGAGAGGCAUAAAAGAUCAAACCAUAACACUUCAGUGGUUUGUCCAGACAAUAUUAAAUAAGGGAAAUUGCCAUGGGCACCCAUCCACUGCUUAAAGACAUCAGAAUUAAUGCCCCCACAGAGAGAGGGUCAGCCUGCAGACUAAUACAGGCGCUGUCACCUGCUCCGGCCACAGGUCUGAUUUACUGCUACGUGCAGACUCGCAGGACACCAAACCAGCCACAAACACAAUCACACACACACACACAUUUAAAUCCUGGCCUUUAACUUAUCUAAUAAUUCUAACCUAUACGUGAAAAAAAAACGAGAAAAAUGAAUAUUCCUCACUGGUUAUGUUCGUGGUGACACAUUUGCAUCCUACAAGGCACACAAACAUGCACACAUACCCACUGCUACAAAAACACAGCCUUCCCUCCACCCACCCCCUCCCAAUUAUCAGCCUGUGGCAAUAUAGCAGCCAAUAUAGCGAGCAGAACUUCCCUCAGAGGUAAUCUCUGGACACACAUUCUUUUACCUCCAUGAUGUCUGGCCCUUUCCAAUCUCAACACAGUGCUUGGGCCUGAGAGAUGGAGCAGGGGGCUGUUAUUUUUAUUUAUUUAUUUCUCUUGCUGUAAAGCAAACCAGCCGAGGUUAAGCCAAAAAGAGUGAAAACAAAGAGCGUGAGAUCAAUACAGUGUAUAUCUAUCCACCCUGGGCUAAAUUCGCCCAUCAAAAACACUGGGUUACAGUGACACUGGGAGCGCAGUGGGGCUGCACGGUUCUUGAUAUCACCGGAGCCCACAUACAAAGAUUUUGGCACAAAUAUACUGAUGUAAUGGAUGAGUAAUUACAAUAAAUUACUGUAUUAAAGUACAAUUUACUCUCCUCAAAUCCAGUUUAGAAAUAUUACAUAAACAGAUUGGGAUUAAAAACUGAAUUAUUAUUCAACAACUCUGCUUAUGUUAUUAGUUUGUUUAGUAAAAGAAACCUUCAUGGGUUUCUGAAAAACUUGAGCUCAGAAAUAUAAAAAAUAAAUAAGCUCCAUAUCAAUACACCUGUUAUUCUUUGCUGUUUUUAUCUGUUUCUUAUCAUCGUAAGUUCAAUAUAUUUGGGUUUUGGAGUGCUGAUCAAAAAAUUCUCAGAACUUGUGAUGGGCAUUUUUUCCUAAUCGGAAAAAUAAUAGACAGAUGAAUCGAUGAUGAAGAUAAUCAUUAGUUGCAGCUCUGAAGUCAAUCAUGACUUGAGAGGGGGUUACCUGUAAGCCUGAGGGCUCUUGUAUUUUGCUGGUCUUAGUGCUGCUGGAUGUCAUAGUGAUUGGGUUGGACAGGGACGACCGUCUGCUGCGAGCAGAAGAAGGACGGGAGGAUGAUCGACUGUCUGAGACACACAAACACACGCAUACCAGACACACACAUAAAAACUCACACAUAGAUAAAGGCUAACACACUGAUACAUCCACAAUUAUUCUAAAUUAAUCAAGUCAUAACAUUGCUGCAACAGAAAAAAAAGUUCAAUUGACUGAUUGAGUACAGCCCUCCCGUCCCCAAACAGUAAACACACUUUCAAAAGAGAGAUGAGGUGCACAACAUAAUUGACACUAUAAUCUGUCUUCUCAGAAGUCCAUUCCCGAGUUUAAGUGAAGGUGGCUGCUUUGCAUUUGGGUUCUGAGAAAGUGUGAUCUCAAGUUCAGCUUUCUUUUAAUUAAUUAUUGAGGCCUUUUAAAUCACAAAUGGCAUAACGGCAACCUCUCAAAUCCAUUAUCUCGCACAACUUUUUUGCUUGAACACUAAUUGAAGCCAGAAAAUAUCAAUUCACUAAUGAGGGGUCUGAUUGUUUCCAAGCUCGGGAAAUCAAGAUGCGAAGUAAUGUGAUAGGCUUACAAGCAAAUUACCGUAGCAGAGAAAUAAAUAGACCCGCUGUCCUGGUAUUUGUCAUGGAUCUAUUUUGUAUUGAUGGCAGUAUUUUAAUCUAGAGGACCAAAAUGUAGCUGUUGUGUGAAUGUGGACAAAGAUGCACUGAAACGUGGCCUAACAAAAGCUUCAGUGUGAGUUUAUACUGAAUGUGAGUUGAUAGGCGGUGUUGUUUCAGCACUAGUGGUUUCCUGCUGCUGGAAAAGUGUGAGAAUUGACCUAAAUAGACCAAUUAUCAGAGAAACACCAUGGCAGAUUAUCAAUUGGCCUAACUGUUUGCCAAAACAUUUUAGACACAAAUACCUGAUACAUUAUAAAUCAGUAUCUCAUCAAUUAUUUGUAAAAUAAUUAGUCAAAAUGACCCUGUCCCAUACAGUUAUAUCAUAUUUCUCAGGGUAGUAAUGGUUUAUACUGACAAAUGCCAGACCAAAUGAGAAGUCAAAACUGUUUUUGAGCUCCAAGAAUAACCCAUUCAAUAUGUGCGAGCACGUUGCAUCUCGUGCCAGAGUCUUGUUAAAAUGUAGCGGGUAUAAAUCAAUAUGUGGGAGAGGCACAAUAAUGUGAUAAUCCAGACAACUAUGUGGGAGCUCAUUUGUUUUUGCAGUGGUGGUCGACGGGGCCCUCCUCUCGACCACCGUCUAAUCCCUCAUCAUCUCCCCAGUGAGAAGUGGUGGAAUCCUCCGAAUCAAUAACACGAACAUGGACUGACCACUUAAAUCAACCCCAUCUAUCUUCCCACUGUGGGCCUGUCCCUGGCUCGCUCAUCCAGGAUCUCUGUUCUUCUCUUUCCUCGAAAUGCUGGUUUUAAAGUGCAAAAAGUGGAUUUUUACAUCCAACUGGCUGAAGGUGCUGUCUUUUACAGAAAAGAACUCUGUUGGUUUAUUAUCAGUGGCUGCAGAAGAGUGAAGCUGGACAUGAGGCCAGUCUUUGUUUGUUGAAGCUAUGAAAAUAUAUAUUUCUAACUGCAAAACCAUAGUUGAAAGGCAGCAUUUUUCAUCAGUGUAGAUGGAGCGUUUGUCAAUCUCCUAAUGGCAGAAAUGAUUACCCAAAUCACAACGCUUUACAGUCUCCUCCCUCCAAACAAGCUGCCCUAAUUGUGUGGCUAUUAUGAUGUAUGGCCUGUCUUAAUGAGGUGAUUUGUCACAGAGGGAGUGAAAAAUCGAUCAAUAACAGAGCUAUUAUUUAUUCAUCAAAACUAAUCGGUGAGGCGUAUUGGGGCAAGCAUUGUGUAUGGGUGUGCAACUAUAAAUUGGAAUCUGAAGUGUACUUCAUGUGCAGUCGGCAUGGGCUGCUACUUUGAACUUGUAGAUUGCGCUGCACAAAUUGCUAUUAUGUUCUGGAGUAAUGCACCAAUAAGAUAUUAGCCUUUCCAUGUAAAAAUAAAGUUAUCAGUAUAUAUUUUAUCUGGUCACUGAGUAUAGAAGUGACUGGUGAUGCAAACAGAGUUUUUAAAAACAUACAAUGCAUAAAUUCUGGGUGCUUUGUUGUCCUUGUUCAUUCCUGUUUUAAUCAGAUUCAGAGUUUAAGACAUUGAUGUUUAAACCUGAAUUCUAUAAGAUAUACUGUAGUUGGGUAUAAGCAUGAGUCAAUUUUAUGUUUUGUGUGAAAGUGUUUUGUGUGGGACAAAGAGUACUUCUGAGGGAGAAAAAUGAGAGCAAAAACAGUAAACAUUUUUCCUUAACAUCUUCUUAUUCUGAGAUGUCACAUGUUGUACCUUUCUUGAGUGUCGUGUCAGAGUCUGCCCGGGGUGUUUCCGGAGGCUGAGGGAGAGUCGCUGUCGCUUGUGCUGCCGAUGAUGACGCUGAUGACACGGAGCUCUUCUGAGGGCUGUAUGACUGACUGCCAAAGUUCUGUCUCUUCAGCUUGGCAUUUGCCUCAAGCCUCUCCAAAACAGCCAUCUCACACUGCUCUACUGUAGACACAAGCAAUCUGCAGAACUGACAGCAACGGGAAACCAGUAGUAAGGGGAUGAUACAAGAGGAUGUUCUGAGGCCAGAGAGAGGUUGUGUGUUUAUAUCUUGGGUGGAGGUAAGCAUAUGAUACUAAAUAAAGACCUUUCUGUGACACUUUACAUCCCUGAGACUUAAGAAAAUGUGUUUUUAUCCUUUACCGUGGUGCAAUGGGACUUGUUCAAAGCAAUUAUUUGUAGCAUGUAGUAAAAUACGUGCAAUUCAAUCCCAUUGUUGAUAUAAUUUUACCAUUUCUAAAAGUUUUUCUCUCGCUUGGGAUGGUAGCUUUGUUCUGAUGCUACACUGGUGCACUGAUCAUCUUAAACUGAUCAAUAACUGAUUCACAAAGAUGGGACUAAUGUAUUUAAAAUGCACCUUUUUCUUGGACACAUGAGAUGACCUGACAAGUGUUGUAUAUACAGCAAAAAGGCAACAGGAUCAGUAAGAACAGAAGUCACUUUAUUUAUACUUGUGUAAACUUACUUCUGCAUAGUCCAGUUUGCCGUCUUUGUUGAUGUCAAGUAAUGAGAAAAUAGCAUUGACCUCUUCAGUGGUCAUUUUCUCUCCUUUCUGGAAGAUUCAACACAUAGUCAUUAGUAGUAGCUGAUCAGUUAUUUUAAUUAUUUUAUGUUAAGGCAUUACAGGUGCGCUGACGAUCAUUCACUUCACCCAAAAUUAACAAUUGUAGCCAAAACCUAAACACGAAUCCAAAACAAUAAAUAUACAGUUUGCUGCAGAUCUGGCUAAUAUAAAAUGUUUCAGACUACUCACAGUGGUUAGGGCUUUCUCCAGUUCGCUGUGUGAGAUGUAGCCAUCACCAUUCACAUCCAUCUUUUUGAAGGCUCUCAUCAACUCCGUUUCCUCUGUUUUCUUCUCACACUUGAGAAUCUCACAGAAAUCAUCAAAGUUCAGUUUGGAUGUUCUCGGGCUCCAGUAUUUGUUGAGAGUUGCUUGGGAUGGAUUUCUACCAGCCUGCUGGAGAACUGAACAGGACGAAUGGGAAAGAGGAACAUUGAAUCUACAAGUAGUAAAGGCUGAUAAUGCACUUCUCCCCUUUUAAGAUAAGAUAAGAAAACCUUUAUUUGCUCCCGACAAUGGGGAAAUUGCAGUUUGCAACAGCAUACAUUAAGGACAGAAUAAAAAAUAACAAGCAAAGAGUAGCUUGUAAAACAUAAAUAAUGAAAAAGAAUAGCAUUGCAAUUAUUAUUAUUAUUAUUAUUAUUUCCCUUAAGUAACUUUAGAGGUUGAAUAAUAGUCUCAUCUUAAGACGUCAUGUUGUCAAAUAGAAAUGUGUUAAAUAUCUUGUUUUUAAAAACCUUGGAACUACCACUACAUGCUCUGUAUUUCUGAGCAAUGUUAAAUCAAAGUUCAGCUGCACAACAGUGGCUGGUAAUGACUGAAUUCACACUUUCCUCUCUCUUUUUGGGCACGUAAAUUCAUUUUUACAAUAACAAGAGACUAAAGUCUAAUGUACAUAAUGUCUCAAAUGUAUGGUACAGCAACAAUUGAGUUUUACGUUAGCUUACCACGACAUAACUGCUGUUUCGAAGAGAUAUUGCUCAAACUGGAUUUGAACACAGCAAGGUAUGCGGCUCUGCACUGCAUGUAGAAAGCCUCCUCUUCAUCAGAAGGACGAGGUGACUCUUGAAGAGACAUCUUUGGAGGAAGACACCGACCUGUUUGCCGUUAGCUAGCACCGCCCCGCUCAGAAAACCAAACGACAGCCAGAUAGAGCAGCUGACUUUGGGGUUAAACUCUUUUGUUUGUAGUGUUUUAUCUCACCGUAACAAUCACCUGAACGCCACAUGCGUGUUACUGUACUGGCGUUGGCUGUGACGUUUGUCAAACACCGUUGCUAGCUGCAGUCUGUUGCUAGGGGAACAAAAAGUUGCCGGUGUUCGCCAAAAGCGACCCUGAAGAAAACAAACGUUAACGUGUCCCGUUGUUGUUGGGCCGUAUUGGACUUCUCAGUGGUUAAAAUAAAUCAAUAAAAGCGAUGUUUAGAAUGUAGAUAAGGAUUUUUGUCGAAUUCAGGCUGUUUGUUACGUUGUUCCGAGUCGUUUUUGCAACAAGGUGACAUCCGGUACUAUAUACGACAGGUUUACACGGACUGUUUGAGUGUAGCAACGGCGCCAGUUUCAUAAAUUUGUGACAAACAAACUUCUGCUGAACCAGCUCUAAAAUGCCGUGAGUAUUUUUUACUAUUUCUCUCUUUAUCUGCAGUAUUUAUUACUACAUUGAAGCGUAUGGUAACCUUACUUAGAAUAGACUUCAGAAAUACUCAGCGUUACUUUAUAGUGUUACACAAUCUUUGUAAAAUGAUGUUACAGUAUUAGGUUGGUCUGUUUGUCAGCUUACUUUAUUACACACUGAUGAGUAAUAACAAUAAUAACUGUAUUUAUAUAGCACCUUUUAAAGGCAGAGUUUACAAAGUGCUUUGACAGACGAAGGCAAAAUAAUAGCCGUGACACACAACCACACCAAAAUACAAUAAUAAGAGCAGAAUAGAAGCCAUAAAAUGAGAAAAUAAAUUAAUUAAUUAAAUAAAAAAGAUAGAUAAGUUAUUUUUAAAUAAAGCAAUUCAUUAUAACUGUGUUUUUCUUAACAGUGUGAGGAGAACUCUGCACAUGGACAAUGGCCAUCAAGUGAGUAAUCAAACUGUCCUCAUACCAAGAGUACUGACAAUGUAAUCAAUUCACCGAUCACCUGUAGAUAAUGUACCGCUUUCUCAUUUCUGUGUAAAAUAGAUCUUUUUUACAGCAGCCAUUUUGACAUUAGAGACUUGAAUGGCUCUGCUACACUAAAUGUAACUGAACCUUAACAAGUAUCUCCGGUAAAACGACUGCUGUGAAAAAGGUUUAUAGUGUUUUUAAAAGUUUAAAGAGUGUGACUUUUAGCCGGGCUGUGCUUCAAAUGUUAGUUGUUCCGUUUUCUGACAAAUCUUGUCUUCUCUCCAUCCUGAAUAGCAUCCAGUUUCCAAAAUACCAGUACCCGCAAGAAACCACGCACCUUCAACUGGGACUGCAAGUUCUCAGGCGGGUGUGUUGACGUAAGACCAACGUCACAACACGUGAACAACACGUCCCACAGACGGAGUUGGAAAAACUGGAUUCCACGCGAUCUAAACUGGAACAAUCAGUGGAUGCAUUCAUCAAGGCCAGGAAAGAGCUGGAGGAAAUAUUCGUGAGAAAGACUUUUUCUUUUGGUCUUAAAUCUUUACAAUAGGCGGAAAUGUCUCCGUCUCCAUCACAUCUUGAGAUUGAGAGAUGAUGGUUUUUAUUACACACUGAAUAUUCACUUCUGACAUGGCUUUUCCUUUCAGACUACAACUUUUUUUUUUUUUAUGUUCAUUCAUUUCUAAUACAGUGAGCUAUAUUAUCCCUUUUCCCCACUAUCUCUUGUGUGUUGCUGGGGUUUUGGGGGUUUUCCGUUUAUCUCCUUUAUCCUGUAUAUUAAUUAGUCAGCAGAGGGCAGCAGUGAACAAGGACGUUUCCUCACUGGAUCUUCUGCUGACCUGAAGACUGAGCUAAAGAGACACAGAGAGCUGACAUUCAGAGUCGAGUCAUCUUUGAAAGAAAAAGACCCCAAGCAUCACAGUCAAGG